rnacentral:rRNA from 1 species
GACGAACGCUGGCGGCGUGCUUAACACAUGCAAGUCGAACGGAAAGGCCCUGCUUGCAGGGUCCUCGAGUGGCGAACGGGUGAGUAACACGUGGGUGAUCUGCCCUGCACUUCGGGAUAAGCCUGGGAAACUGGGUCUAAUACCGGAUAGGAGCCAUUUUUAGUGUGAUGGUUGGAAAGUUUUUUCGGUGUAGGAUGAGCUCGCGGCCUAUCAGCUUGUUGGUGGGGUAAUGGCCUACCAAGGCGGCGACGGGUAGCCGGCCUGAGAGGGUGGACGGCCACAUUGGGACUGAGAUACGGCCCAGACUCCGACGGGAGGCAGCAGUGGGGAAGAUUGCACAAUGGGCGCAAGCCUGAUGCAGCGACGCCGCGGGGGGGAUGACGGCCUUCGGGUUGUAAACUCCUUUCGCUAGGGACGAAGCUUUUUGUGACGGUACCUAGAUAAGAAGCACCGGCUAACUACGUG